rnacentral:piRNA from 2 species
UGGAGAAACAGCCCAGAGUCCAGUGC